rnacentral:rRNA from 1 species
GGGGAAUCUUCCGCAAUGGGCGAAAGCCUGACGGAGCAACGCCGCGUGAGGGAGGAAGGUCUUUGGAUUGUAAACCUCUUUUCUCAAGGAAGAAGUUCUGACGGUACUUGAGGAAUCAGCCUCGGCUAACUCCGUGCCAGCAGCCGCGGUAAUACGGGGGAGGCAAGCGUUAUCCGGAAUUAUUGGGCGUAAAGCGUCCGCAGGUGGUCAGCCAAGUCUGCUGUCAAAUCAGGUUGCUUAACGACCUAAAGGCGGUGGAAACUGGCAGACUAGAGAGCAGUAGGGGUAGCAGGAAUUCCCAGUGUAGCGGUGAAAUGCGUAGAGAUUGGGAAGAACAUCGGUGGCGAAAGCGUGCUACUGGGCUGUAUCUGACACUCAGGGACGAAAGCUAGGGGAGCGAAAGGGAUUAGAUACCCCUGUAGUC